ACGGGAGGCAGCAGUGGGGAAUAUUGGGCAAUGGGCGAAAGCCUGACCCAGCAACGCCGCGUGAAGGAAGAAGGUCUUCGGAUUGUAAACUUCUUUUAUGAGGGACGAAGGACGUGACGGUACCUCAUGAAUAAGCCCCGGCUAACUACGUGCCAGCAGCCGCGGUACUACGUAGGUGGCAAGCGUUCUCCGGCUUUACUGGGUGUAAAGGGCGCGUAGGCGGGGAUGCAAGUCAGAUGUGAAAUCCAUGGGCUCAACUCAUGAACUUCAUUUGAAACUGUAUCUCUUGAGUGCUGGAGAGGUAGAUGGAAUUCCUAGUGUAGCGGUGAAAUGCGUAGAUAUUAGGAAGAACACCAGUGGCGAAGGCGAUCUACUGGACAGUAACUGACGCUGAGGCGCGAACGCGUGGGGAGCAAACAGGAUUAGAUACCCUGGUA
rnacentral:rRNA from 1 species